UUCUCUAUAAACGAUGGUGUCUGUACUGCCUUACCACUUCAAGCUCGAUCCAGAGAGUUCAGACGGCGUUACGAUAUAAACGAUCUCCGUCAAUUAACGCGAUUGGAUUUAACUUUUUUAGGUGUCCUUAGCUCUGCCAGAAUGCUAAACGAAGACGAAAAUGUGUUGCAAAGACAUCCAAAAGGUUUUAAGGAGAAUGCAACAGGUUCCAGGGCCUCUUACCUGCGUGAUUCAUCAUCCAGAUACGCUUGGAGCUUCCUGAUCAGAUCGGUCACAAUUUUGGCUUUCGAU